GCGGAGAAGAAGAAGAGAAGUAGAGGAAGAAGAGGGAGAAGAGAAGAAGAAGAAGAAGAAGAAGAAGAAGAAGAAGAAGAGAGGAGGAUAGCUGCGGCAAGGCUGCAGCGAGGAGGUGUGUGGCAUUGGGGAGGAAAAGGGAAGAGGAGAAGAAGAGAAGGACAAGAAGAGGGAAAAGAGAGGGAAGAGGGAGAGGAGCGAGUGGUGGCAGUAGCUAGGGUUGCAGCACCUCUGUUUCCUGCAGAUGGAAACAGAGGAGAGGUGUGGGGCGUUCGAAGAGGAGAAUAAGAAGAAGAGGAAGAGAAGAAGAAGAGGAAGCAGGAGAAGAGGUUGUGAUACCUCUGUUUCCUACAGAGGAAAUAGAGGAGAGGGUGUGUGUGACGUCGGGGAGGAGAAGGGAAGAAGAAGAAGAGAAGAAGAGAAGGGAAAGGAGGAGCUGCGACUGCGGCGGUGGCAGCUGCAAUUGGAAGAGAAGGUGAGGAAAAAGAGAAGAAGAAGAAAGGAAGGAGAAGGAAGAAGGAGAAGAAGAGGGAAAAGAGAGGGAAGAGCGAGAGGUGGCAGCAGCUAGGGCUGUAGCACCUCUAUUUCCACAGGUGGAAACACAGGAGAGGUGUGGGGCAUUUGAAGAGGAGAAGAAGAAGAAGAGGAAGAGAAGAAGAAGAGGAAGCAGGAGAAAAGGUUUUGAUACCUCUGUUUCCUGCAGAGGAAACAGAGGAGAGGGUGUGUGUGACGCCGAGGAGGAGGAGGGAAGAAGAAGAGGAGAAGAAGAGAAGGGAAAGGAGGAGCUGCGGUUGCGGCGGUGGCAGCUGCAGCUGGAAGAGAAGGAGAGGAAGAGAAGGUGAGGAAGAAGAGAAGAAGAAGAAAGGAAGGAGAAGGAAGAGGAGAAGGGAAAGAAGCAGCUGCGGCUGUGGCAGCUGCAACUAUGGCAGGGAAAGAGAAAGAGGAAGGAAGAAGGGAAGGAGAGGAAGAAGAGAAAGGGAAGAAGGGGCUGCGCAAGCGGCGAUGGUAGCUAUAGUUGGAAGAGAAGAAGGAGAGGAAGAUGAGCAGGGGAGGAAGAAGAGGCAGCGACAGUGCAGCUGGGAAAGAAGAGAAGGAAAGGAAGAAGAAGAGAAAGGAAAAGGGAAGAAGAGAGGAAGAGGAGAAGGGGAGGCAGCUGCGGCAGUGGCAGCUGCAGCUGGAAGAGAAGGAGAGGAAAUAGAGCAGGGGAGGAAGAAGCGGCUACGGUCAUGGCUACGACUGUGGUAGUGGCAGCGGCGAUGGCUGCGACAGCUGUGUUUGAAAAAGAAAACAUAGGAAUGAGAGUAAGAGAGAGCAGGUAACUAUGCCUCUAUGUUCUGCAUGAGCUACAGUUGUGGAGGAAAAAGAGAAGACAUGUAGAAAACAAAACAGGGAGAGGACAGGGAGGAAAAGUAGAAGGAUUUGGGCUGACACCUUCUUUGGAUCUUCAGAUCAAAAUCUUUGAAAGGUCAGCUUGUCACUCUUUGAGAUGUUUGAAUUGGGCUGAGCAGUGGAGAGCUAUUCUGAAUUAUGGGCAAGUCUUGUUGGGUAUUAUUUUAUUAUUGUAUAAGCAUAUUUUGUAUGUAAUGAAAUAUUGUCGAUGAACCGAAAUGGAUAUACCUUGUAAAAGUGUUAGAAGAUCUCUCUUAUUUGGAAUUUCGGAAUGUUAAGUCGUGAUAUGAACUUGUGGUAAAUGGUUGGAGUUCUGAUUGUGUAAAUUACUUAGCUUGUGGAUUUAUAAAUAUUGUUCAUGUUUGUUAAGUUGGCUUGGGUUGUCAUAAAUGUGAAUUAUCGAGUUAUAUGAUAUAUGAUUAUAAACUGCACAGGUUUUAUAGAUGUGAAUUUGAUAGAAUGUUUUUCAAUAUCCUCAAAUGUGAUUUUGGAUCCUGGAUUGGUUUGUGUUAAAAAUUUUAAUAUCAUGGAUAUUUUGAGGGGCGUGACAGAGGUGGUAUCAGAGCAUGAUUUGAGGAUCACUGAAAUAUUUAAUAUGUUGACGUGCAAAAUAUAUUGAGGUCUAGUGAACUAUUGUGAUUGGUGAAAAUUUUCUUUGAUGUAUUUUAGGAAUCAAGGAUGAUGAGGUAAUUUGGUCCUCCUACUUCAUCUGGUUUUGAUUAAUUAAGUGGGAUGAAAGGGGUAAUCGGGGAUAUUGAAUCAGAGUGGCGCAGUAGAAGCAUGGUGCACUAAUUUCAUUGGUGGUAGAAAAAGGGAUGAUGCAAACAGAGAAGAUAUUUGAUGUACAAAAUUAUUCUGAUGAUUGAAAGAUUUCUUUUGCCACCUUAUAUUGGAAGUAGAGGCUGAUCAUUAAUGGGAACAAUGAAAAGAAUUUUUGAAGAGCAAUGGCAAGAAUGAUAAGGACAAGUUUACCAAUAAAAAUAUGAUUGAAAAUGAAUCAGAAAGUAAUAACAAGAGGAUCAAGACAUUUGGAUUUGAAAUGGGAAGUCACCAUAAAAGACUCAAUCACGUGUGAAUUGCAAGUUAAAUUAUGACACAAGUUUGUGUUUUCGGGUGACUAGAGUCUAUUUUGCUUGUGGAAAGUUGGAUCAUGAAAUAAAAGACUGCCCAUUGAACAAGAAGAAAGAGUCACUGCCUCUUAAAUCAUCAACCCAUAUCAGAGUGUAUGCUAUCACUCAAUAUGAUUCUAAAACUUCUGAAUUAGUGAUCGAAGGUAUUAUGCAUGUUUUUGAAAGAAUGCAAAUAUUUGUUUGACCAUGGGUCCUAUCUACGAUUUGAUUCGUAACAUGUUGCUUAUCACUUGGGCAUUCAACCUAGACCACUGCAUUAUAUGAUAUAUAUAAAAUACGAUCAUUGGAGAUUCUUUGAUAAUGAACUUGAAUCUGGUCCUCUUGUCUGAUUUUUAUUGGAGAACUUGAACUUUUGCUGAUUUAGUUCUCCUAGAGAUUUAGAACUUUGAUAUUAUACUUGGUAUGGAUUGACUAUCUUCUUAUCAUACCAGUAUGGAUUGUUAUAUAACAAAUGAUCACUUUUUACAUAUUUGAUCAGCUGAUCUUUUAUUUUGAGAGUAUUGGAUAUGAUUUAUCUCAUUGCCUAAUGUAUCCCAGGAUGAAUUGCACGAAUUACCUCCAAAACGUGACUUUGCUUUUGAUUUGGUCCUUGGGACAAUCCCAAUAUCUAAGCCUCUCUACGGAAUGACAUCAUUUGAGUAAAUGGAAUUAGAAAAAGCAACUACAAGGACUAUUAAAUAAGGAUUUUAUUUGGUUUAAUAUUUCAUCAUGGGGUGUUCCGGGGUUUGUUAAAAAGAAGGAUGGAACAUUAAAGCUUUGUAUUGAUUAUAGAUAGUUGAAUCAAGUGACUAUAAAAAAUGAGUAUUUUCUGAAGUAACGACUUGCUUGAUAAACUGCAGGGUGCGCAAGUAUUUUUAGAAAUUGAUUGAAGGUCGGGUUACCGUCUAUUGAGGAUCAAGGAGGAGAAUAUUUCGGUCAUUCUUGGAUAAUUGUAUCAUUAUAUUGUAUUGAUGAAAUUAUUUGAGAGCAGGAGGAGGAAAUAAAGAUAUCAUAAUCCUCAUCUUUUCAUCAAUUGAGCUAUGAUCAAUUUAGAGGACUAAAUUUUCUUUUAAGGAGGGAAGAGUAUAAUAUCCCUCACUUUUGAAAAUUAUUAAUAAGGAUUUAUAUGUAAAUUGGAGGACCUAUAUGUAAAUAUAGAAAUUUCAAGGACUAAACUGUUAAGUUGCAAAAAGAAAAAAAAUAAAGAAAACAAAAAAUUUCGGUUUUAUCCCACCGCCUCCCACGUUCUCUGUUCCCGAAACAAAGAGAUGAGCUGAGAGAGGAGCUGUGGGGCAUGCGGAGAAGAAGAAGAGAAGUAGAGGAAGAAGAGGGAGAAGAGAAGAAGAAGAAGAAGAAGAAGAGAGGAGAAUAGCUGCGGCAAGGCUGCAGCGAGGAGGUGUGUGGCGUUGGGGAGGAAAAGGGAAGAGGAGAAGAAGAGAAGGAGAAGAAGAGGGAAAAGAGAGGGAAGAGGGAAAAGAGAGGGAAGAGGGAGAGGAGCGAGAGGUGGCAGCAGCUAGGGCUGCAGUACCUCUGUUUCCUGCAGACGGAAACAGAGGAGAGGUGUGGGGCGUUGGAAGAGGAGAAGAAGAAGAAGAGGAAGUAGGAGAAGAGUUUGUGAUACCUCUGUUUCCGGCAGAGGAAACAUAGGAGAGGGUGUGUGUGACGUCGGGGAGGAGAAGGGAAGAAGAAGAGGAGAAGAAGAGAAGGGAAAGGAGGAGCUGCGGCUGCGGCGGUGGCAGCUACAACUGGAAGAGAAGGUGAGGAAAAAGAGAAGAAGAAGAAAGGAAGGAGAAGGAAGAAGGAGAAGAAGAGGGAAAAGAGAGGGAAGAGGGAGAGGAGCGAGAGGUGGCAGCAGCUAGGGCUGCAGCACCUCUAUUUCCACAGGUGGAAAUAGAGGAGAGGUGUGGGGCAUUCGAAGAGGAGAAGAAGAAGAAGAAGAGGAAGAGAAGAAGAAGAGGAAGCAGGGGAACAGGUUUUCAUACCUCUAUUUCCUGCAGAGGAAACAGAGGAGAGGGUGUGUGUGACGCUGGGGAGGAGGAGGGAAGAAGAAGAGGAGAAGAAGAGAAGGGAAAGGAGGAGCUGCGGCUGCGGCAGUGGCAGCUGCAGCUGGAAGAGAAGGAGAGGAAGAGAAGGUGAGGAAGAAGAGAAGAAGAAGAAAGGAAGGAGAAGGAAGAGGAGAAGGGAAAGAAGCAGCUGCGGCUGUGGCAGCUGCAACUAUGGCAGGGAAAGAGAAAGAGGAAGGAAGAAGGGAAGGAGAGGAAGAAGAGAAAGGGAAGAAGGGGCUGCGGAAGCGGCGAUGGUAGCUAUAGUUGGAAGAGAAGAAGGAGAGGAAGAUGAGCAGGGGAGGAAGAAGAGGCAGCGGCAGUGCAGCUGGGAAAGAAGAGAAGGAAAGGAAGAAGAAGAGAAAGGAAAAGGGAAGAAGAGAGGAAGAGGAGAAGGGGAGGCAGCUGCGGUAGUGGCAGCUGCAGUUGGAAGAGGAGAGGAAACAGAGCAGGGGAGGAAGAAGAGGCUGCGGUCGUGGCUACGACUGUGGUAGUGGCAGCGGCGAUGGCUGCGACAGCUGUGUUUGAAAAAGAAAACAUAGGAAUGAGAGUAAGAGAGAGCAAGUGACUAUGCCUCUAUAUUCUGCAUGAGCUGCAGUUGUGGAGGAAAAAGAGAAGACAUGUAGAAAACAAAACAGGGAGAGGACAUGGAGGAAAAGUAGAAGGAUUUGGGCUAACACCUUCUUUGGAUCUUCAGAUCAAAAUCUUUGAAAGGUCAGCUUGUCACUCUUUGAGAUGUUUGAAUUGGGUUGAGGCAGUGGAGAGCUAUUCUGAAUUAUGGGCAAGUCUUGUUGGGUAUUAUGUUAUUGUUGUAUAAGCAUAUUUUGUAUGUAAUGAAAUGUUGUCGAUGAACCGAAAUGGAUAUACCUUGUAAAAGUGUUAGAAGAUCUCUCUUAUUUGGAAUUUCGGAAUGUUAAGUCUAGUUUACGAUGAUAUGAACUUGUGGUAAAUGGUUGGAGUUCUGAUUGUAUAAAUUACUUAGCUUGUGGUUUUAUAAAUGUUGUUCAUGUUUGUUAAGUUGGCUUGGGUUGUCAUAAAUGUGAAUUAUCGAGUGAUGUGAUAUAUGAUUAUAAACUGCACAGGUUUUAUAGAUGUGAAUUUG